GCUUGUCUCAAAGAUUAAGCCAUGCAUGUCUUAGUGUAAAUAACUCUUAUGAAACUGCGAAUGGCUCAUUAAAUCAGUUAUCGUUUAUUUGAUGGUCCCUUACUACAUGGAUAACCGUAGUAAUUCUAGAGCUAAUACAUGCGCAAAUACCCAACUGCUUGUCGGACGGGUAGCAUUUAUUAGAUUGAAACCAAUGCAGUCUUCGGGCUGGUAUUGUGUUGAGUCAUAAUAACUGUGCGGAUCGCGUUUUACGCGAUAAAUCGAUUGAGUUUCUGCCCUAUCAGCUUUGGAUGGUAGGAUAUGGGCCUACCAUGGCAUUAACGGGUAACGGGGAAUUAGGGUUUGAUUCCGGAGAGGGAGCCUUAGAAACGGCUACCACAUCCAAGGAAGGCAGCAGG
rnacentral:rRNA from 1 species